UAAGUAGACACAUCACGUGUUGCUCCUGCUAGUCUCCUGGGGACGUGUUACUCGGGCUGCCGCUGCUACUAUAGCAGCCUGUUGCAAGUAGCAGCAUCUCUAGCUCUCCCCUCGGAGCGGGGAGGGGCUCCGCCAAGGAGAGAAGUGAGCGAAACUUUUUUUUCCUCCUCCUCCUCCUCCACCCCAGUUGCGUGGAGCCAGCUUCCUGCCUAGAAACUUUUGCGAGCUGGCAAUUCCUAACUAAAGAGCCGCGGUCCCCUCUAAUCGGAGGUGAUUCACAUCAGGAGAGAACAGGCAACUUCUCUAGCAAGUGAGAGGAGACAGAACACAUUAGGGAUGUGGAGACAGGAUAAUGAAAUGAUCUACAAAACAGGCUAUUUGCUAUUGCCUUUAUGCAAAAAGAAGAGGAUGGAAUCAGCUAUCUAUGACAGGAAUCCUCUUUUCUGGAUUCCACUAUGGAAAUCUAGAUUCUGAAUGAUGACUCAAGAUGCAUUAUGUUAGUAAUGUCUCAUCAAUACAGCCCCAUCGCAAACUGGAGAGAGCCAAUACACAGAAAGGCAAGUGUUGUCUUCUUACAACAGUGUGUUGUUAAGAACAUAAGAACUGUCAUACUGGGUCAGAUCAAUGGUCCAUCUAGGCCAGUAUCCUGUCUUCCAAUAAAAGCCAGUUGGUGUCAGAUGCUUCUGAGGGAAUGAACAGAACAGGGCAAUUAUCAAGUGAUCUAUCCCCUCUUGUCCAGUCCCAGCUUCUGGCAGUCAGAGGCUUAGGGACACCCAGAGCAUGGGGUUGCAUCCAUGAUCAUCUUAACUAAUAGCCAUUGACGGACCUAUUCUUUUGGUCUUCACAACUGACCAUUUAUUCCUACCCUUUGUUUAUCUUUUGACCAGUUGUUGAUUCAUGAGAGGACCUUCCCUCUUAUCCCGUCACUGCUUGUACCUAUUUUGCUUAAGAGCCUUUGUCAAAGGCUUUCUGAAAGUCCAAGUACACUAUAUUCACUGGAUCACCCUUGUCCACGUUUGUUGACCCCUCGAAGAAUUCUAACAGGUUGGUGAGGCAUGAUUUCCCUUCACAAAAGCAGUGUUGACUCUUCGCCAACAUAUCAUGUUAAUGUACGUGCCUGAUAAUUCUGUUCUUUAUUAUAGUUUUAAUCAGUUUGGCUGGUACUGAAGUUAGGCUUACUGGCCUGCAAUUGCUAGGAUCACCGCUGGAAACUUUAAAAAUUUGCUGUUACAUUAGCUGUCAUCUGGUACAGAGGCUGAUUUGAUGAUAGGUUCCAUACCACAGUUAGUAGUUACCCACUUUCAUAUAUGAGUUCCUUCAGAACUCUUGAGUGAAUACCAUUUGGUCCUGGUGAUUGAUCAUUGUUUAAUUUAUCAAUUUGUUCCAAAAGUUCCUCUACUGACCCCUCAAUCUGGGACAGUUCUUCAGAUUUGUCACCUAAAACAAAUGACUUAGGUGGGAGAAUCUCCCUCACAUUCUCUGCAGCGAAGACUUAUGCGAAGAAUUAAUUUAGCUUCUCUGCAAUGGCCUUGUCCUCUUUGAGUGCUCCUUUAGCACCUCAAUUUUCCAGUGGCUGCACUUAUAUGUGGGGUAUACAUAUAGUUUGAGCCUCUAUUAUGAUGUUUUUUAAAAGUUUCCACACAGCUUGCAGGCAUAGGCAUUUCACUCUUGUGACUGUUCUUUUUAAUUUCUGUUUACCUAACUUCCUAAUUUUUGUAUAAUUCCCUCUUUUGAAGUUAAAUGCUAAUGUGGUGGGUUACUUUGUUGUUUUCCCCUCUACAAGGAUGUUAAAUUUAAUUAAAUUAUGGUCACUAUUACCGAGCGGUUCAGCUAUAUGUACCUCUUAGGCCAGAUGCUGUGUGCCCCUUAGGACUAAACCGGGAAUAGCCUCUCCCCUUGUGGGUUCCAGGACUAGCUGAUCCACAAAGCAGUCAUUAAUGGUGUCUAGAAAUUUUAUCUCUGCAUCCCAUCCUGAAGUGACAUGUUCCCAGUCUAUACGGGGAUAGUUGAAAUCCUCCAUUAUUGUGGUGUUUUCUGUUUUUGUAUCUUCUCUGAUCUCCCUGAGCAUUUCACAGUCACCAUCGCCAUCCUGGUCAGGUGGUUGGUAGUAUAUCCUACUGCUAUACUUUUAUUAUUCAAGCAAAUCAUUUCUAUCCACAAAAAUUUGAUUCAUUUAAGAUUUUUACUAUAUUUGACUCUAUGCUUUCUUUCACAUAUAGUACUCCCCCACCAGUGUGAUCUACUCUGUCACUCUUAUAUAUUUUGUGCCCAGGUAUUACCUUGUCCAAGUUUCUGUGAUGCCUAAUAUAGCAAUAUUCUCAUUUAAUAGCAAGCACUCAAGUACAACCAUCCAAGUGUUUAAAUUUUUUGCAUCUGUAUACAAGGACUCUUAAAAGUUGUCAAUACUUAGUUGUCUGCCGUCAUCUAAUGUAACUGAAUUGGACUCUUUUUCAUUUGACUUUUUCUCUUCAGCUCCUACCUGUACUUUAUCAACAUCUAUCCUUUCCUCUUUACUAGAGUAUCCCCUUUAAUAAAUCCUCCCCUAAGGGAUGUGCUUAUCUGAAGUGUGUGGUCCUCUGCAGCUGUCGGCUUCCCCUCAACCCUUAGUUUAAAAAUUCCAUUGCGACCUUUUUAAUUUUA